UGGUUCAGUAGUAGCUGUGAAU
rnacentral:piRNA from 1 species